ACACGGCACCCCACUUUAUGAGCGUUGCCUUCCUCUUCAAAGUCUCAUGCCUGGCCGUGAGUGCACAACUGUGUCACUGUUCCCAGAGUUACUGGGUCUGAGCAGUGGCAGGAUGAUUGACACAUAGCACAGCUACAUAGGCCAGAAUCACGGUUCAUGUGCGUUGAUGCCCACAAAAGUCAUGCUUACAACAUGCAUAACUGAGUGCAAGACGGAGCCUGGGGAAGGAGAGAGGGAAGGAGAGAAGGAACCAGCUUCCGUUCUCUAAGCUAAUCCCUUUAAUAAUUCCAGCUGCGUCCUGCCUGGCCUGGACACCGAUUUGUGUAUGUUUGCUUUGUCAAGCCGUCUUUUACGGUGCUUUUUAUCGGUGUGAAGAACUAAACUCCCUUUGGCUCAAGGUCUCAGUUCAAUUUCAGAGAAAUUUUUGGGAGCGGCAUUCCCAGAGUUGAAGGAGCCAAAGAUUAAAAACAUGUUUUCACUUAAAGCUCUUACUGCAAGGAAGUAUGGUUUUGGACAGAUGGAAUUGCAAGGUUUCCCUGCAGCCUGAAACCCAUGAUCCUGGCAUCCAAUACUUGGCAAACCCCAUACACACAACUUACACCAACAGAGGCAUUCACAUGUGCCAAAAGAAUUCAAAAUAAAUCAAUUUCACAAGUGAUUUAAAAUAAAGGACUCAUGGCUGAGUACAAUACCUUGCUUU